rnacentral:rRNA from 1 species
UACGUAGGUGGCAAGCGUUGUCCGGAAUUAUUGGGCGUAAAGCGCGCGCAGGCGGUCCUUUAAGUCUGAUGUGAAAGCCCACGGCUCAACCGUGGAGGGUCAUUGGAAACUGGGGGACUUGAGUACAGAAGAGAAGAGUGGAAUUCCACGUGUAGCGGUGAAAUGCGUAGAUAUCGGGAGGAACACCAGUGGCGAAGGCGGCUCUCUGGGCAGAUACUGACGCUGAGACGCGAAAGCAUGGGGAGCAAACAGG